rnacentral:rRNA from 1 species
GACGAACGCUGGCGGCGUGCUUAACACAUGCAAGUCGAGCGGUAAGGCCCUUUCGGGGGUACACGAGCGGCGAACGGGUGAGUAACACGUGGGUGACCUGCCCUUAGCUCUGGGAUAAGCCUGGGAAACUGGGUCUAAUACCGGAUAUGACUCCAUGACGCAUGUUGUGGGGUGGAAAGCCUUGUGCGGCUAGGGAUGGGCCUGCGGCCUAUCAGCUUGUUGGUGGGGUGAUGGCCUACCAAGGCGACGACGGGUAGCCGGCCUGAGAGGGCGACCGGCCACACUGGGACUGAGACACGGCCCAGACUCCCACGGGAGGCAGCAGUGGGGAAUCUUGCGCAAUGGGCGAAAGCCUGACGCAGCGACGCCGCGUGGGGAUGAC